UACGUAGGGGCGAGCGUUGUCCGGAAUUAUUGGGCGUAAAGAGCUCGUAGGCGGCUCAGCAAGUCGGCUGUGAAAUCCCGAGGCUCAACCUCGGAACUGCAGUCGAUACUGCUGUGGCUAGAGUCUGGUAGAGGAGAGUGGAAUUCCCGGUGUAGCGGUGAAAUGCGCAGAUAUCGGGAGGAACACCAGUAGCGAAGGCGGCUCUCUGGGCCAGUACUGACGCUGAGGAGCGAAAGCGUGGGGAGCAAACAGGA
rnacentral:rRNA from 1 species